rnacentral:rRNA from 1 species
UACGAAGGGGCCUAGCGUUGUUAGGAUUUACUGGGCGUAAAGCGCGCGUAGGCGGAUCGCUAAGUCAGGGGUGAAAUCCCAGGGCUCAACCCUGGAACUGCCUUUGAUACUGACGAUCUGGAGAUCGGGAGAGGUUGGUGGAAUUCCGAGUGUAGAGGUGAAAUUCGUAGAUAUUCGGAGGAACACCAGAAGCGAAGGCGGCCAACUGGCCCGAUACUGACGCUGAGGCGCGAAAGCGUGGGGAGCAAACAGG